GACGUAGGGCGCGAGCGUUUGUCCGGAUUUAUUGGGCGUAAAGAGCUCGUAGGCGGUCUGUCGCGUCGGAUGUGAAAACCCAGGGCUCAACCCUGGGCCUGCAUUCGAUACGGGUGGACUAGAGGUAGGUAGGGGAGAACGGAAUUCCUGGUGUAGCGGUGAAAUGCGCAGAUAUCAGGAGGAACACCGGUGGCGAAGGCGGCUUCCUGGCCUGUUCUUGACGCUGAGGCGCGAAAGCUAGGGGAGCAAACGGG
rnacentral:rRNA from 1 species